UGGCAAGAGGAUUAAGAAGACCAGGAAGUACGACAUAAUCACCACUCCAGCUGAGCGGGUAGAAAUGGCUCCUCUGAAUGAAGAAGAUGAUGAGGACGAAGACUCAACAGUGUUUGAUGUGAAAUACAGGUAAAGCAGCUCUGCGGAGCGUUGGUGCCCUACAAGAUGUCAUUCUGCUGUCGAGGGACCUGCUGAAGCCAUAACUGUGAAAGGGGAGGCUUUCAUCUCUGCAGUGUUACAACCAAACCAAGCCUCACCUCUUGAGGUGCUGUUUGUACAGCAGGCUAUGGAUCUUCUGACCAAAACGUCACCAUUCGGUUCCCUGGUUUCCAAACUGCUGUGUUGGAAUGACCAGAGUUCCUCUUUGCGAACUCAGCUCUCUCUUGCUUUAGGAGGGCUGCGGUGUCACUAAAGCAUGACAAGAUGCAGCCCUGUGUACCAACUUGCAGCUCAUUAUGGUCUAGAUAAGUUUUGCAGAAGGAAGAAGACAAGGAAGAUUGAACCAAGCUGCCCCAAGGACUUAUUUUCUAAAAUCCUAAUUCAAUACUUCAGUCACUGUUAAACUUUGGUCAUUGUUAAACAGAUCAUGUGUUUAAAAAAAUAUCAAGAAGUGUAUUUUUUGGGCCUUGCAGAGGUGACUUACGACUUUAGGUGGUAAAAGUGCAAGCCAUGCUGAAAUGGCACACUGUAUGUUUAGUGUAGGAUUUUUGGGGGAGGGGGUGAGAGGUUGACUCAUGUAGAAAAUUUUUUUGACUUGCUACUGAUUUUUUUUUUUAAACAACAAUUGCACUAAGCUUUCAUGAUGACAUUCUCAUUGUCCCAAGGAGCUCUGAUCAGACCAACUUGUAUAAACGAGACCACAGGGAAAUAGGAAGAAUCAGGCAUGCCCUAAACUACAACAAUCUUGGAUUAAAGAAGAUAUAUUUUUGUAAUUUUCUGCCUUUCCACAGGGAGUAAAAACAGUGUUUUGUACUGUCCUGUGCUUACUGUAACUUGUCUACAAUUCAUCUAUAUUACCUUUUUUCUAAGCAAAGUAAGUCCUCAUGUGGAAUGGUUAGAUUGUAGAAAGAACACCUCUUAUUUUUCAUGGAAGCUUCUUCAUGUAAGUGAUCCUAAUCUGUAUCAAACUGGAAGUUUUCCCCUACCACCCGCUUGACAAAUCCCAUUUAACUCAAGGACGCAUUUUUAACCAUCGCUCCCUGCUGUGCUUUGUGCUGCAGAGGUCAGAGCUGCGGGAUGACACUAAGAGAAUUAGAUUGCUGCAUCUGAAUAGAUUGGGUUUAGGAGACCACAAGCAUGUACAGGUUCCAGGCCGUUGUUAGAAAGGGCAAACCUAACUGGUUUAGUUUUUUACUUUGUGGUUUUCCUUUAAAGUAACCACAGAUGCAGUUCAGACUUCUCUUUGACAUGUUUAUUCUCUGUUUACUGCACCCCUUAACACCUUUUAUUUUGGGUUUUUAGGAUGGCUGGAACCCCGGUUUUCUUGGGGAAUGCAUGUCUUCCAAUUGUUUUAGGAUUGUCCCACUGUUUGCUUGACCCUCUACUAGCCUCCUGCAGUUACAAUCCCUCAAGGAGACUGCAGAGUAUCUGGCAAAGCACCAUCCUUGCAGCAAGCUGCCAGUCUUGGGUUUUGGGUUUUUUUGAAGGCCGAUUGGGAUUUGAGGCUUGCUGAGAACACUGAACUGCUUUGUCAUGAUACCAUGACCUAUGCCAGUUCUGUGCUGUUCCCUUGGGCCCUGCAGUUAGUAAAAGGAGGUGAAGGGGAAAUUUUUUUUUUUUCCCAGCAGCCUUGCGCUUUCCUCAAAGAAGCUCCCAUAACACAGCUUGCUUUCCCUAGCCGUGACUCAGCAAAGGCUUUACAAACAGCCCACUCAGCCUGGAUGGAAAAAUCCCACAGCAGACUGUUGUGUUAAUAUUAGUCAUCAAGGCAAUAUAAAAAUGCUAUGUUAUUUUCAUUCAUGGAAUGAAUUUGAGUCAUUCCGUAUUACUGUUACUAAGCAAUAUUUAACGUGUCAGCUGCAAGGUGAGGAUGGGGCUGAGCGGGCUGUAUCCUGGCUGGUAGGAAUCGCAGGGACCAGUACGUUGAAUGAUGCUGUGGGUUGAGAUAAGAUCUGGGGCUCUUUCCCCACCUAGGUAAAACAGGUUUCAGACUUAGGCUGGAUGAUUCUGAAGGAAUACUGUAUCUCUUCAGGACUAAAGUACUUCGAAGACCAGGAAUUCAACUUCUUAGGCAGACUGAGUCCAUUUGAAGUCAGAGAAGUGGCGAUGCUGAGAGGAGAGAGAGAGGGAGGUUAAAAGCUUCUGUUUGCAUUUGCAGAAGGAGGCAAUGGAGUGAGGUGGCUGCCCUGUCUGAGCAGACACCAUGGCAACACGUUCAUGUCCACUCUUCUGCCAAACUCAUUAAGCUGAGCAUCAGGCACGCUGGAAGAGUGGUGGAAAGGGAAUGAAACCUUCUCUGUGCACAAAAGAAAGGCGAGACCAAGUUAUGUAGGAGAGAGGUGAGAGGAAAAGGUACAUAAAGGAUACUUCUCCUUUCUGAGGGUGAGUCAGUUCUUGAAAUCAGGAGUUUUUCCACCAACUUCAGGUCACUUACUGAGUUAGGCUGGCAAAGGCCAUCCACUUUUCCUUGCUUGUGGCUAAAAGAUCCCACCGUUUCCACAAUGUGGCCAAAUCUCAGUGGGGGACAGGGACCAGGUAUUUAAGAUGUUGAAGAUGGAGGUGCCCAACUGCUACUGGGAUGCUCUGGCUCCUCGAGGAGGUCCCAAACCAUGUGCCAUAAGCUAAAAAGUACUUCUAGAGAAGCAGCAGCUGCUUGGUGGAAAUAAAAGGCCAACCUCACCAGUUGCUCAUGGUCAUGAAAAUAAUCCGAAUGCUUUGUUUGAUACUCAGUUGCUGUUGCAAAUGUGAGGCAAUGUUUACCUCUACAAAAGUUGCUGUAUGUGAUUUAAAGUGUCUGGUUAAAUAUUCUAUAGCUAUAUUUAGUUAAGAUUUUAAGAGCACUUGAUGUGACUCAUCUAAUAGUAUAUAUAUUAAUAUUUUUUUAAUGGUAGGAAUUAGUUUAAAACAUAGUUUUAAUAAUUUGGACUGUUCGGUUCAGGUAGUUCUAGGAGUUCAUUGGAGAAGAAAUAGCCAUUAACCACUACAUGAAUGUUUUACCUUAAUGUUCUGUGUAUCUUACACUGCAGAUUUAAUAUCAUUGUGACUGUAACGUGUCUUAGUAUCUGCCGCUCUUUGUGUUGCAUAGUCAAACUUGCUUUGUUCAAGAGCAUUUUUAAAGGCGUAUUUUUUUGUUACAGAAAAUGAAAAGAGAAAUGUUAUUACAGAUGUCUGCCUGUAGCUCGCUCACUGCUUACAAAAUCCACCGACUGGUAGCAGAGUCAAACAGAGCAAGCAAAUUAGAGGCUUUCCUAUUUGUGCAUGCUGUGCUGUGGAGGAAAAACCUUGCACAGAAUUGCAGCUUCUUUACUCCAACCACAGCGCUGUCACUGGAGAUUACAUUUGAGAAGCCAGAAGUUGGUGUGCCAUGCUUGCCUGCAGAAUUGUCAGAAAUACAUAGAUAGCUUUGUAUUUGUUGCGUUUUUUUGUUGUUUUUUCCCCCAUGGAAGAUGUGGAGAUGACUGCAAACACUUGUUUAGCACACUAACUUGUGUUAUCCUAAUGCUUAUCCUAAGCGCAGACUUGUAGAAGUCUAUAAGCACUAAUGAAGCUUGAACACACAGGCAUUAAUGCAUUUGAACGUUUUGUUCGUAACAGUUCCCUCCAAUUCACUGUACGUGGUAUAAUCUCUGCAGGGUGGCAGGCUAUGGUUUUCAUUAAGGGUUUUUUCUUCUGUUAGAUGAGUUUCUGCUGCUGCAGUUUUUGUGUGAGGAGUUAUCAGGACCAUGCGUUUUGUGCAAUUGCUUGUACUUUGUUUAAAAAUGUUUAAGAAAAUUUGUCAUUGUGACCAAAGCUUCUUUUUAAGAAAAAAUUGGUAAGACUAGUUUGAAUGGACUUCUGAUGUUUCAGCAGAAACUGCCAUCAUUAAACAUGUUCUUGAAA